rnacentral:misc_RNA from 1 species
GGACUACUCGGGUUUCUAAUCCGGUUCGCUCCCCACGCUUUCGCGUCUCAGCGUCAGGUAGAGCCCAGAGAGCCGCCUUCGCCACUGGUGUUCCUCCCGAUAUCUACGCAUAUCACCACUACACCGGGAAUUCCACUCUCCUCUACUCUCCUCAAGUCUGCCAGUAUCCAAGGACCUCUCCCAGUUGAGCCGGGAGCUUUCACCCUAGACUUAACAGACCGCCUGCACGCCCUUUACGCCCAGUAAAUCCGGACAACGCUUGCCACCUACGUAUUACCGCGGCUGCUGGCACC